rnacentral:rRNA from 1 species
UCGGGUUGUAAAGCACUUUUGUCCGGAAAGAAAACUUCGGGGCUAAUACCUCUGGAGGAUGACGGUACCGGAAGAAUAAGCACCGGCUAACUACGUGCCAGCAGCGCGGUAAUCGUAGGGUGCGAGCGUUAAUCGGAAUUACUGGGCGUAAAGCGUGCGCAGGCGGUCUGUUAAGACAGAUGUGAAAUCCCCGGGCUUAACCUGGGAACUGCAUUUGUGACUGGCAGGCCAGAGUAUGGCAGAGGGGGGUAGAAUUCCACGUGUAGCAGUGAAAUGCGUAGAGAUGUGGAGGAAUACCGAUGGCGAAGGCAGCCCCCUGGGCCAAUACUGACGCUCAUGCACGAAAGCGUGGGGAGCAAACAGGAUUAGAUACCCUGGUAGUCCACGCCCUAAACGAUGUCAACUAGUUGUUGGGGAUUCAUUUCCUUAGUAACGUAGCUAACGCGUGAAGUUGACCGCCUGGGGAGUACGGUCGCAAGAUUAAAACUCAAAGGAAUUGACGGGGACCCGCACAAGCGGUGGAUGAUGUGGAUUAAUUCGAUGCAACGCGAAAAACCUUACCUACCCUUGACAUGGUCGGAACCCUGGUG